rnacentral:rRNA from 1 species
UGAGUGAUGAAGGCCUUCGGGUUGUAAAGCUCUUUCACCCGGGAUGAUAAUGACGGUACCUGCAGAAUAAGCCCCGGCUAACUCCGUGCCAGCAGCCGCGGUAAUACAUAGGGGGCAAGCGUUGUUCGGAAUUACUGGGCGUAAAGCGCGCGUAGGCGGUUAGGUAAGUCAGAUGUGAAAUCCCCGGGCUCAACCUGGGAACUGCAUUCAGAUAACUGGAUCUCCUAGAGUACCGGAGAGGAGA